CGAUUAAGCCAUGCAAGUCGAGAGGUGUAAGACCUCGGCAUACUGCUCAGUAACACGUGGUUAACCUGCCCUAAGGUGGAGAAUACUCCCGGGAAACUGGGGCUAAUGCUCCAUAGUGGAUAUCUCCUGGAAUGGUAUAUCCUCGAAAGAUCCGUCGCCUUAGGAUGGGACUGCGUCCGAUUAGGUUGUUGGCGGGGUAACGGCCCACCAAGCCUUUUAUCGGCACGGGUUGUGGGAGCAAGAUCCCGGAGAUGGAUUCUGAGACAUGAAUCCAGGCCCUACGGGGCGCAGCAGGCGCGCAAACUUUACAAUGCGAGCAAUCGUGAUAAGGAAACCCUGAGUGCCUGUCGAUGCAGGCUGUUCAUAUAUCUAAAUCAUAUGUGAAGAAAGGGCAGGGCAAGACCGGUGCCAGCCGCCGCGGUAAUACCGGCUGCUCGAGUGAUGGCCACUAUUACUGGGUUUAAAGCGUCCGUAGCUUGACUGUUAGGUCUCUUGGGAAAUCUUCGCGCUCAACGUGAAGGCGUCUAAGAGAUACCGGCAGUCUUGGAACUGGGAGAGGUAAACCGUACUUCGGGGGUAGGAGUGAAAUUUUGUAAUCCUCGAGGGACGACCUAUGGCGAAGGCAGUUUACCAGAACAGCUUCGACAGUGAGGGACGAAAGCUGGGGGAGCAAACGGGAUUAGAUACCCCGGUAGUCCCAGCCGGAAACAAUGUGCGUUAGGUGUGUCGGUAACCACGUGUUACUGAUGCGCCGAAGAGAAAUCGUGAAACGCACCACCUGGGAAGUACGGUCGCAAGGCUGAAACUUAAAGGAAUUGGCGGGGGAGCA
rnacentral:rRNA from 1 species